rnacentral:lncRNA from 12 species
AGCUCAUUAAACAAAGGCCUCUUGGUGCCUAUAUCGCCCGUCUCCCCGCUGAGAGCGUAACAUAUUUACGGCCUUUGCAGAUUGCUGGCUGCUGGCGCCUUCCCUUCCCCGUGGCCAGCCUGCCAACUGCUUAUCAGUCUCCCCCAAAGGUGACAUCCUCCUCGUUUGUUUGGGUAGCGAUGGUCCCGUGUCUGACCCUCGGAGGCCAGCAGCAGCGUGAUUAGGAGCGGCUCCUGCACCAGCCAGAUAAAGGCAAUCAGGCUGGGGAAGACAGCGAGGGCUGCUGGGGAGCCUGGCCAGGCGGAGCGCUCCCAUUCAGGAGCACGCUGGCAGUUCGUUAGCGGGACAGCUGGCAAUGUGCAGACCUUGUGGGAUUCCUGCCUCCGAGAAAGCAAACAAGCAUUUUGCCGGGGUCCUGGGAGGACAGAUGAAGACAUCUUGGAGGCAGGAAGAGGCUGCAGGCUGCAUCCAUCUGCCAUUCCAGGAUCUGACAAAGCUGUUUCCUGCUUUUCCCCCUACUGGAUUCAGUAGAAGCUAUGUGACUAGCCUCACAUAGGCCUGGAGUAAUGGGAGAGAAUUCCACAGUGGCCUCAAAGAACACCUGAUGAAAACAUGAUCCCUUUUGAUCUAUUGGGAGAUUUAAAAAUAUUAUGUCAACAUUUUAUUAAUUCAUUUGUAUAGUACAUUUCUUUGGUGUUUGACAUUUGUUUGGCCAUUGGCUUAUUAAAAAUGAGCAUCUAGAAUGCAAUUCUGGCUUGUGUCCCUAAGAAAAGAAAGUUCGAUGACCUCACAGUUUUUACCUUUUUUUUUUAUGUUUUUACUUUUGUCCUCAUUCUUCAUUAUUAAGACAAUCUAAGAAUCCCUCUCACUAAAAAGAAAGUCAUACCAAAAUCGACUUCCUUAAAU